rnacentral:lncRNA from 1 species
AGUGUUUCCUCCCCCGGCCUUCCCCCUCCCCCUCUGGCUCUUUCGUUUCAAUCGAUGCCAGGAGAAACUGCCUCUACCUGCAAGAAAGGCGCACGAUGGCACUUGGGGAUAGGAGUCCACCGACGGCACCGGAUCACUGGAGGCAAACAUCGAAUUAAUUGGAUCUCAAUGACUGAGGUAUCUGUGGAGGAAGAAGGUGACGUGACGAGAAAAGCCUGACAGCCAAAGUGGGAACUGUCCGGGAGAAGGAUCCGUGAUGAAUGAGGUCUGCGAAGUCAGGAUGCACAAGCAGCCCAGGACAGUGUGCUGGCAUCAAAUGCCGGUUUUUGUUCGCUAGAACCAUAAAGAAAAACGGGGGGUGGGGGGGU